rnacentral:pre_miRNA from 1 species
GUGCAGCUGGAAGGGGGGCCGUUACACUGUAAGAGAGUGAGUAGCAGGUCUCACAGUGAACCGGUAAAAAUCAGGCCACUCC